CCUACGGGUGGCUGCAGUGGGGAAUAUUGCACAAUGGGGGAAACCCUGAUGCAGCGACGCCGCGUGAAGGAAGAAGUCUUUCGGUAUGUAAACUUCUAUCAGCAGGGGAGUAAAUUACGGUACCUGACUAAGAAGCCCCGGCUAUCUACGUGCCAGCAGCCGCGGUAAUACGUCGGAGGCAAGCGUUAUCCGGAUUUACUGGGUGUAAAGGGAGCGUAGGCGGGGUAGCAAGUCAGAAGUGAAAGCCCGGGGCUCAACUCCGGGACUGCUUUUGAAACUGUUGAACUAGAUUGCAGGAGAGGUAAGUGGAAUUCGUGGUGUAGCGGUGAAAUGCGUAGAUAUUAGGAGGAACACCAGUGGCGAAGGCGGCUUACUGGACUGUAAAUGACGCUGAGGCUCGAAAGCGUGGGGAGCAAACAGGAUUAGAUACCCGAGUAGUC
rnacentral:rRNA from 1 species